UACGGGGGGGGUAAGCGUUGUUCGGAAUUACUGGGCGUAAAGGGCGCGUAGGCGGACAGUUUAGUCAGAGGUGAAAGCCCAGGGCUCAACCUUGGAAUUGCCUUUGAUACUGGCUGUCUUGAGUUCGGGAGAGGUGAGUGGAAUGCCGAGUGUAGAGGUGAAAUUCGUAGAUAUUCGGCGGAACACCAGUGGCGAAGGCGACUCACUGGCCCGAUACUGACGCUGAGGCGCGAAAGCGUGGGGAGCAAACAGG
rnacentral:rRNA from 1 species